rnacentral:misc_RNA from 1 species
GAUAACUGGCUUAAGGUCC